AAAACGACUCUCGGCAAUGGAUAUCUCGGCUCUCGCAUCGAUGAAGAACGUAGCGAAAUGCGAUACUUGGUGUGAAUUGCAGAAUCCCGUGAAUCAUCGAGUCUUUGAACGCAAGUUGCGCCCGACGCCAUUCGGCCGAGGGCACGUCUGCCUGGGUGUCAC
rnacentral:rRNA from 1 species